CUAAUGUGCAUCUGAGGUUCGAAAGAUCACAAAUGCAUUUCAGCAUUAAGACUCAUUAAACAGAAGUCUUCUAUUGAAGAGCUCUAGUUUCCCCAUCCUCACCCAACUAAUUUGAAGAAGGACUUUAAUUCAGAAAUGAAGACAAAGAUCAGCUGGGCUUGCAAAGGAAGGGGUGGAGUUCCUAGGAGCUUAUAAAAGCUACUCUGAAGCCUUUCCCAGAGACCUUGUAAGUAGUAGGUAGUUAUGGUGGAAGCACGUCUGUGGCCAAGAGCAUAGAGUAAGGGAAUAAACAACUUGUCUGAUGUUGGGCAAGUUGUAAGGGUCUCCAGAGGUCCAUGUGCUCAUAUGCAAAAGAGAUCUUGGGAAGUCUGGGUCUUGCUAGGUGAGAAGCACGUGAUGUAAUAGGGAAAGGGGACAAUGUGGCUGACUGGAAACUGCAACCCCGUAACAGGAAAGCUUGUGUUGUCAAGCAAGAGAGAAGCCUAGUGCUGGAAGAUGUCCCAUAUUUUCAAGAUGAGAAAAUUCACCAAUUGGGACUUCUACUUGGGUACCACAGGGAGCAGAGUAGCACAUCAGGCAAAACACAGAACCAGCAACAGCUUGGAGGAUGCCAAACCCAGUGACCGCUGGAGCAGAAUUGGGUAGCAGAUGUUGUGUUACCAUGGCAACCAGUGGAUGGCUCCAAAUGAAGAAGGGACUCGAUUUCCAAGGACUGAGACCUGAAGGAGACUUUGACCCUGCCUUUUCCAGAGCUCAGUGGCUUUGGAAAUGGUGGGGGCAAAAGGAGAUAUAAAGGAGGAACUAUCACAAUUUUCUGUCCUCAUUGCUAUUGUGCUGUUGGUAAAAGAGAAAGACACACACACAAAAAUCAACCUUUUGACAAGAAACAUCUUGCCAGCUGUGAAUUAAUGAGUUGCCUUGCCUCCAGGAGACUUGAUAAUUCCCCUAACAGUUGAACUGCUGGCUCCUCCCACAAUCUUCUUCCACUUCGUUCUAUUCUCUGGCUAAGUAAUACUGCAGAAUGACUGCUUGUAAAAGGCAAUUCGCAAGCCACUUCCCUUCCUGCUCUCUGGUUCUCGUAUUUUGCCCUAAAGCAAGGUAUCCACCAGUCUACCACUGCAGGAGCCCAGCGUCCAUUUAGCAUGAUUCACAUACCCACGAGGGCUUCAGCCACCUCGCCAAGCACAAUUAUGCACAUACCUGCCUAGAGACUGAACUGAAUGGAGCCAUAAGACACCAUCUCCAAAUAUUCUUCAUUACCAUUCUACUGUUUCUGUGUGCUCUCAAUUAACUUUUCUCAGAAACUCUCUAAAUUAUCUUGUGAAUAGCACAAUUAUAUUGCAUACUGUUUUAUGUCACAAGCCUUAUUUUUUUCAAGUAUAAACAAAGUAUUUCUUGAUAUUUUAACUGUUUUUGCAUAUCUUUGUUUUUCAUUACUACAUUGUGAACCUCAAAAAAAAAAAUAGCGGGGCUCCCUGGCCUCCCUCAACCUCCAGGAGGCCCUGGAGUCUGCACAUUGUGUUAGGAUGGGCAAAGGCUCUGUGAGCAGGCAGAUUCCACAGCAUUUGUGAACCUUAGCUUCUGCUUCUAGGACAUGGAUCUCCAGAAGCAGUCCACUGGGUUGCAGACAGAAAAUAUUAAAACCUCUAUUUUUCAUUUUAUCCUCUAGAAAUCUAGUUUCUAUAUUUGUGUUAAUGCAUUGGAGUGUGUGUGUGUAUAAUUUUAAAUUUAGUAAAUAUGGAGGUUGAAUCCAGUCAUUUCUUUAAGCAGCUUUAAUUCACAUUUCAUACAAUUCAUCCAUUUCAAGUAUGCAAUUCAGUGAUUUUACUAUUUUCCGACAGUUGUGUAUCUACCACCAAGAUCCAUUUUAGAACACUUUUUUUUAACACUACAAAAGAAACUCCACAUCCGUUAGCUAUCAUCUCCCUGAAUCCCAUCCAUCCCCCUUCCCUACCCCAGCAACCAUUUAUGUAUUUUUGUCCUUAGAGAUUUUCCUAUUCUAGUAUUUUAUGUAAAUAGAAUCAUACUAAUUGGCCUUUUGUCUCGGGAUUGUUUCACUUAGCAUCAUAUUUUCAAGGUUCAUCCAUGUUGUAGGAUGAAUAAAAUUCUAUUGGGGAUAUACCAUCUCUUAUUUACCCAAUUACCACUGGUCUCAUGAAUAAGCAAACAUUGUAGACCCCAAUCUAUAUAAUCUGUCUACUAUAUGCAUUAUACAUCAAAGGUGAUCUUCAAAAUAUUCAAUAAUAGGCACUAACAAAGAAGAACAGAUGUUGUGUAAGUAUUGAAAGUGGUUCUGGAAGCCCACUUAGUGCCCAGGGACAGCCUUCAUUUGCUGAGACCCAAAAGGUUGAGGAGCAAGGUAUUCAGGGGGCCCAGGACAGAGGCUCUUUAUGAACUGUCAUGGAAACACUUCAAUUUUAAACAACUGGUGUGGCUGUAUGUGUGCAUUCAAGCUGACAUCUCCCUGGCAGAUCAGCCGUGAGGGUUAAAUGAGGCCAGGCACAUGGAGGAGCUAGGGGUUCUUAGCACAUGUAGCAAGCACAACUGUCGGCCUGAGGUCACUGUUCCUCAUUCCCUUCUAUCUUGGAUUGCUCCCCGCAGCUGAGAAAGUCCCUAUCCUAGAAGCCUAUUUUGUUAUGCACCUAAAGGGAGUCAUAAGGUCGAUGGCAUGGGCCAGGCAUCUCCCACUCAGACAUCAGAAGGAAGAUCUCUUGCCUGGUCCAAUGAUUCCUUCCCUGGCAAAACCCGGCUGGAGUUUGAUGGAACAACCUGGAUGUGAGGCCCCUGGGGUGCAGGAAAGAAAAAAUGUCAAACAAAAAUCCUAUCUUUUGGUUCCCCACUUGCCUCACAUUAGCCUUUGUUCCCAGAAUAUUCCCUGAUUCCAUCCGGAGCCUGUGGGUCACUUCCUAUCUUUGCCAUUAAGUCCCAGAAUUUAGGAGGAAACCAAGAGAAACCCAGAUAGAAAAAGUUACUUGCUGAUGAUCACAUACAGAUAGUCUGCUUGUGAAGAGCUGAGUCGAGAGCAGAGGUUUCCUGAUCACAUGCUAGAGCUUCUUGCAAUUCAGCAGCCCUGUGAGGAAAGCCAGUCUAAGAGCAUUGGCUAAAAUGACUGUUUAAUUCAGUUCAACAAAUAGUGAGUUUCACUGAGUGCCUUCUCCAUCUAGUAACGAUGCCGCACACAUGUUCUGUACUCAGCUUAUGCUCAUAAAGGAUUUCAUAUGCCCAGGCUUUUUCAGACCCCCUUGGAACCACGUACAAUUGAGGUUUUAAUUAGAGAGAACCUUGGCUGCUAGAUGAUCUGCACUGGAACUGAAUAAUAAAGUUAGAAGAUAACACUUAGGAGAAUGGACUCAAAGGAUUUAGUCUGAAGGAGAGAAAGAUGUUGUGGCAUGUUGAUGACAUUUGUGAUGUUCUAGGCAACAAAGAUUCACUAUAAAGAGAGGAGAGGGAGGCUUCUCAUUGCCCAGAGAUGGUGGAGGAAGAGAAUUGCAGUGGGGUCCAGGUGGCAUGUAAAUGAAAGUGUGACCCUUGCCGAUGAGAUUUCAUUGGUGGGCUAGGACUUAUUUUCCCAGUAAUGUUUGUCAUAAUCUCUUUCUGGGUAUUUGAAUGCACCCAGUGUUUUCCUGAAAAGAGAGGAAGGUAUUGAAUGCAAAACAGCAGAUGUUCUUGCUGAAUGAUAUGAAGGAAGUCACAGAUCACCUGAGCUGGGGCACAGUGCCACCUGCUCUACUCUUCCCACCUCUGUGUCAUUAACUGGAAUCUGUAUGGCACCCAGCCCCUAUGGGACUCUUCAAAGUGUCCAGAGUUAUAGGGGCUUUGAGAUACAAGUAACAGAUACCCAAGCUCCAAGUGGCUUAACCAAUAAUGAGAGGCAUUAUCUUCCAUCAUGGGACAUGGAGAACUGGUCAGGAUUUCAGGGUGCAAUGGUGAACUUCUUAUCAAUACUGUCUAGGCUCUGACCUCUUCAUUUCCUCAUUGCAGGUGUCUUCAGCUUUGCCUUCAUCCUAAAACUUCCCUUGAUGGUUGUAAGAUAGAAACAAAGAGCCAUUGGGGUCACAUGAAUUUUUAUUUUUAU